AGACAGGCAUGUCUAGUAUAGCAAUCUGUACAGUGAAACUGCGAAUGGCUCAUUAAAUCAGUUAUCGUUUAUUUGAUAGUACCUUUGCUACUUGGAUAACCGUGGUAAUUCUAGAGCUAAUACAUGCUAAAAAUCCCGACCCCUGGAAGGGAUGUAUUUAUUAGAUAAAAAACCAACGGCUUCGGCCUCCUUGGUGAUUCAUGAUAACUUAACGAAUCGCAUGGCCUUGUGCCGGCGAUGGUUCAUUCAAAUUUCUGCCCUAUCAACUUUCGAUGGUAGGAUAGUGGCCUACCAUGGUUUCAACGGGUAACGGGGAAUUAGGGUUCUAUUCCGGAGAGGGAGCCUGAGAAACGGCUACCACAUCCAAGGAAGGCAGCAGGCGCGCAAAUUACCCAAUCCCGACACGGGGAGGUAGUGACAAUAAAUACUGAUACAGGGCUCUUUUGGGUCUUGUAAUUGGAAUGAGUACAAUUUAAAUCCCUUAACGAGGAACAAUUGGAGGGCAAGUCUGGUGCCAGCAGCCGCGGUAAUUCCAGCUCCAAUAGCGUAUAUUAAAGUUGUUGCAGUUAAAAAGCUCGUAGUUGAACCUUGGGUCUGGCUGGCCGGUCCGCCUCACCGCGUGCACUGGUCCGGCCGGAUCUUUCCUUCUGGCUAGCCGCAUGCCCUUCACUGGGUGUGUUGGGGAACCAGGACUUUUACUUUGAAAAAAUUAUAGUGUUCAAAGCAGGCAUAUGCUCGAAUACAUUAGCAUGGAAUAAUAGAAUAGACGUGCGGUUCUAUUUUGUUGGUUUCUAGGACCGCCGUAAUGAUUAAUAGGGAUAGUCGGGGGGCUCGGGAUUCCAUUGUCAGAGGUGAAAUUCGUGGAUUUAUUGAAGACUAAAUACAACAAAAGCUGUUGCCAGGAUUGUUUUCUAUAAUCAGUGAACGAAAGUCAGGGAGUCGGAGGGGAUUAAACGCCGUCGUAGUCUUAACCAUAAACUAUGCCGACUAGGGAUCGGGCGAUGUUCUUUUUCUGACUCGCUCGGCACCUUACGAGAAAUCAAAGUCUUUGGGUCUGGGGGAGUAUUCCACGC
rnacentral:rRNA from 1 species